rnacentral:rRNA from 1 species
ACAUGUCUUUUUGGUUAUUUAAUAUAAAGUCUGACCUGCCCACUGAAUAUAGUUUUAAAGGGCCGCAGUAUUUUGACUGUGCAAAGGUAGCAUAAUCAUUAGUCUUUUAAUUGAAGGCUGGUAUGAAUGGUUGGAUGAGGCACAAGCUGUGUCAUAAAAAUUAAUAUUUGAAUUUACCUUUUUAGUCAAAAGGCUAAAAUUUUAUUAAAAGACGAGAAGACCCUAUAGAGCUUUAUAUAAUUAAUAUUUAGAUUAUUAAUAUUUUUUAAAUUUAAUUAUUUUAUUAUAUUUUGUUGGGGUGACAAUAAAAUUUAUAAAACUUUUAUUAUUAUUAUUCAUUAAUUUAUGUUUAAAUGAUCCAAUUUUAUUGAUUAUAAAUUUAAGUUACCUUAGGGAUAACAGCGUAAUUUUUUUUGAGAGUUCUUAUCGACAAAAAAGAUUGCGACCUCGAUGUUGGAUUAAGAGUAAUUUUGGGUGUAGAAGUUCAAAAUUUAAGUCUGUUCGACUUUUAAAUUCUUACAUGAUC